rnacentral:rRNA from 1 species
CCUACGGGUGGCAGCAGUGAGGAAUAUUGGUCAAUGGGCGCGAGCCUGAACCAGCCAAGUAGCGUGAAGGAUGACUGCCCUACGGGUUGUAAACUUCUUUUAUAAAGGAAUAAAGUGAGGCACGUGUGCCUCUUUGUAUGUACUUUAUGAAUAAGGAUCGGCUAACUCCGGUCCAGCAGCCGCGGUAAUACGGAGGAUCCGAGCGUUAUCCGGAUUUAUUGGGUGUAAAGGGAGCGUAGAGGGGUUGGUAAGUCGGUUGUGAAAGGUUGGGGCUCAACCGUAAGAUUGAAAUUGAUACUGGCAGCCUUGAGUACAGUUGAGGUAGGCGGAAUUCGUGGUGUAGCAGUGAAAUGCUUAGAUAUCACGAAGAACUCCGGUUGCGAAGGCAGCCUACUAAACUGCCACUGACAUUGAUGCUCGAAAGUGUGGGUAUCAAACGGGAUUAGAUACCCGGGUAGUC